rnacentral:rRNA from 1 species
UUUAGAGGAAGUAAAAGUCGUAACAAGGUUUCCGUAGGUGAACCUGCGGAAGGAUCAUUAUUGAUUUAGCGAACCGAGCGUUAGCGAGGUUCUGCGAUCGUUUAUAUUUAAAACCCACUCUUGAAUGUAUAAAAUUUAUGUAUUAAUGAUAAAAAUAAAGAUCACUUUCAACAACGGAUCUCUUGGCUCUCGCAUCGAUGAAGAACGUAGCGAAGUGCGAUAAGUAAUGUGAAUUGCAGAAUUCCGUGAAUCAUCGAAUCUUUGAACGCAAAUUGCACUUUCUGGUAUUCCGGAAAGUAUGCCUGUUUGAGGGUCAGUUAAAUAAAAAUCGGUGUUGUUGCUGCCUUUCGUGGUGACGCGUCGGAAUUGGGUCGUCUUUACCUUCGGUUAAGUGACUUAAAAUUUUUUAUGAUUUUCGAACGUAUUUAAAUCGCUUACGUACGUUUGAGAUAUCGAAUGUUUAUUGGGUUCGGUCAUCCUCAUGAUUCAAGCCUAUAAUUUUUCAUUAAAUGACCUCAAAUCAGGUAAGAAUACCCGCUGAACUUAAGCAUAUCAAUAAGCGGAGG